CAUGUUCCUCAAUCAGUAAAACAGAAUCAAGAUCUCAUCAUCUUCUCCAUCAGUAAAACAAUCCCUCCAAUCAAUUUCCUCCGGCUCGACCACAACUUUCCAAUUGAAACUCGAAAAAGCUUCACGCCUACUCGCAAACCUCUUCAUAUCACCCAUCGGCGGCGCUUUUCUCCCUCCACCAACAGAUCCAGUCUCAUCAAAUUUCCUUUCCACAAAAUUCAGUUUCAAUAUCUGUGAAAACAUUCUCUGAAACUUCGAUUUCGAUUUCUUCACAUCUGCAUCCUUUGGUUUCAAAUCUUUGGUGAAGGAGGUUCUUAUGUUACACUAACACCAGUACCAUCUCUAGGUUUUCUUCUAGCUUCGUAAGGAAUCAUAAUAACCAUAUGACUGAAAGGUGCAUUGUUAUUGCUUUCAAGAACAUGUUCCGAGAAAAUCCUCCGUGUAGCACUGUUAUAGCUCUGCUUGGAGGUUUCUUAUUUUGUGCAUGACUGAAAGACUGCCUGUUUCUUUUGAACCAAUUAUCUCACUCUACAGGAUUUUAACAAGGUCAAAAUGGAAUAGUUCGAGGUCAAAGUGGAAUGGAAGUUAAACUGGUAUCGGUAUGUUUAAACUGAAACUGAAACUGAUGUAUGUUGAAACUGAUGUUGAAACUCAAACUAAAAUAAUGUUGUUCA